GCAGAUGAUUGCAGUUUCUAUUGUUCACGGUGGUCCAGGUCCUCGCUUCCUCUCAGAUAUGCUAUACAAUCACCUCACUGGAAGGACUGACAUUAAUGGAACAGUUGAAGAUAUAACAGAUGAGACCAUGAAGGCAGCUUUACUUGAGAUAUCUAGUGCAGCAUCUUUGGAUGAAUUACACAUGCUUAUGGAUAAGUAUGCCAGCUUGCUGCAGACUGCUGGAUGUUUUGAUUACCCACAAAGUGUAGAAGGCAAAGAAAACAUUGUUAAGGAUUUCAUACAGUGGUACGUAAUUUACAGAAACCAAUACUCCGUACAAAGGUAAGUUGGUUCCUAAUUUGAGAGCAUAUUAUCAUUAUUCAUAUCAUCAUUAUUGUCAUUACUUUGUUUUGCUUCCAGAUUUAGCGACGGUCUUUCCACCCUGGAUGUCAUCCAUGCCCUGGAACAACAUCCAAGUGUAUUCAGACCCUACAUGUGCUACAAUGUUGAGAAACUAACACCUGAAUCACUGGAGGCUGUCUUCAAGGCUCAGCUCAGUGAAGUUGGUAGCACCAGACGACACGUAAGAAACAAGGAUUCUAGGAUACUGGAGAGACUAUCUGCUUGACACUGGAGAACAAGAAACUGGAAUCUCCCUCCAGGACAUCCUGAUGUUUGUUACAGGACUGGAUUCACUGCCUCCUUCAACAAUUGAGCCUCAGCCCCAACUGACUUUUGAGAGGACUUCUAAAUUUCCCAUUGCCAGCACAUGUGCCAAUACAAUCAAAUUGCCAAUGUCCAAAAGCUAUGAAGAGUUCAAAAAUGCAAUGGACUUUGGUAUCCAAAACUCACCUGGUUUUGGAUUGCACUGAGUAGAACAAUGUAAAAUGUUAAAGGGUUAGUUCAGCCAAAAAUGAAACUUCUGUCAGUAAUUACUCGCCCUCAUGUUGUUCCAACCCCGUAAGACUUUCGUUCAUCUUCGGAACACAAAUUAAGAUAUUUUUGAUUACAUCUGAGAGCUGGAUCACUCCUCCAUAGGCUUCUAAGGGAUUGAAACUUAAGAUUGAGCCACUGUAGUCACUUUUAACGAUUUCUUUAAUAACUUUUCUGGUCCGGCAAGUUUCAAUCCCUUAGAAGCCUAUGGAGGAGUGAUCCAGCUCUCAGAUGAACGAAAGUCUUACGGGGUUGGAACAACAUGAGGGUGAGUAAUUACUGACAGAAGUUUCAUUUUUGGGUGAACUAUCCCUUUAAAUGCGGGCCAUGUUUUUUAAAGUUAUAUAGUUCUCCACACCAGUCUCCCAGGUGUGAGGUGUAUUCAGAUUGCUUUGAGCGUGCAGUUCUUCAAAGUUUGCCUGAAGCUGUUCAUCUUGACAUGUACUAAGAGUAGGUUCAAUGAAAAACUGGUUCAAGUCUUCCUCUGAGACACGAAAUCUGCAUUCUCUCCUAUUAAACCUUUAAGUGAAAGAGGAAAAAGUUUGGUGUGAAAACUAAAGGUACAGCGAUAAAGGUUAAUUUGUAUUUAAUUAUAAAUUCUAUCUUUUCCCCAAAAUAAAACUGUC